AGUGAACGCUGGCGGUAGGCCUAACACAUGCAAGUCGAACGGCAGCACAGGAGAGCUUGCUCUCUGGGUGGCGAGUGGCGGACGGGUGAGGAAUACAUCGGAAUCUGCUCUGUCGUGGGGGAUAACGUAGGGAAACUUACGCUAAUACCGCAUACGACCUAGGGGUGAAAGCAGGGGACCUUCGGGCCUCGCGCGAUUGAAUGAGCCGAUGUCGGAUUAGCUAGUUGGCGGGGUAAAGGCCCACCAAGGCGACGAGCCGUAGCUGGUCUGAGAGGAUGAUCAGCCACACUGGAACUGAGACACGGUCCAGACUCCUACGGGAGGCAGCAGUGGGGAAUAUUGGACAAUGGGCGCAAGCCUGAUCCAGCCAUACCGCGUGGGUGAAGAAGGCCUUCGGGUUGUAAAGCCCUUUUGUUGGGAAAGAAAUCCAGCUGGCUAAUACCCGGUUGGGAUGACGGUACCCAAAGAAUAAGCACCGGCUAACUUCGUGCCAGCCGCCGCAGUAA
rnacentral:rRNA from 1 species